UUUGUAUAUUAGAUCAAAGAGCAA
rnacentral:miRNA from 1 species